UACGGGGGGGGGCAAGCGUUUGUUCGGAAUUACUGGGCGUAAAGGGCUCGUAGGCGGCCAACUAAGUCAGACGUGAAAUCCCUCGGCUUAACCGGGGAACUGCGUCUGAUACUGGAUGGCUUGAAUCCGGGAGAGGGAUGCGGAAUUCCAGGUGUAGCGGUGAAAUGCGUAGAUAUCUGGAGGAACACCGGUGGCGAAGGCGGCAUCCUGGACCGGCAUUGACGCUGAGGAGCGAAAGCCAGGGGAGCAAAGCGGGG
rnacentral:rRNA from 1 species